CAAAUGUGCAUCAACAAAGUACUGAGUAAAGGGUCGGAAUACUUGUGUAAAUGUGAUAUUUCAGUUUUAAAAAAUGAUACAUUUGCACAAAUGUCUAAACCUUGAUGAGGGAUUGUGUAUUUAAAUAUGUUUUUGAAUAAGGCUGUAACAUAACAAAAUGUAGAAAAAGGGAAGGGGUCUGAAUACUUUCUGAAUGCACUGUAUAUCUCAGUUUUGUUUUCACUUUCUAAUGAUAUUCAUGGUCUGUCAUCUUAAAUAUUUUCUUAAUCAGCAUGUGUAAUCAAGGUAUUUUCUAUCCACAGUUACACCACCUGUUGGCAAUGCAGCAGAUUUUAAAGGGACGAAACCAAAUGUUUCUUAUCUGCUGCUGGGCACUCUGGCAGAGCUGGUUUCAGAAGAGCUGAAGUUAUUUCAGUGGCACCUGAUUCAUGGUGUGGAGGGCUUUACUUCAAUCCCACGGGGCCAGCUGGAGGACGCUAACAGACUGGUCACAGUGGAUAGGAUGGUGCAGCAAUACCACGAGGACGGUGCUGUGAAGAUCACACUAGAGAUCCUGAGGAAGAUGGACCAGAACAAAAUGGCUGAUGAGUUAGAGAAGAAGUUCCCAAACAAUGUCUGAACUGUAUACAGUAUGUCUACAACUGUAUAUACAUUCGCACAUCAAGUCUUCUCUUGAGAUGGGCUCUGGGAUGGAACAACUGUUGAACAUCUGUGGUUGUUUGUGGGGGAAGUGUGGGUAGUGUGUGUGACUGUGGGUGUGUGUACGUAUCCCACAUAUGUUGCUAUGAGGUAAUGGUGUUAGGGACAAUAUAGGAUGAAUCACAAUAAUUAUUUGACAUAAUAAUAAUUGCUUGCCAAAAAUGUGAUUUUUGUAAUGCCAGUCCUGGUUAUAGGUAACAAUCCUUUGUAUGAACUGCCUAGAUUAUUGCUCAUAACUAUUUGUUAAUUGUGGAAAUAACGCAUUUGCAAAUCAUGUCUUCUCUUAAGUUGGGCUCUGGGAUGGAGCAACUUUUGAACAUCUUUGUGAGAGAAGGGUGGUGUAUGAAUCCCACAUCUGUUGCUAUGGUGUCAGGGACAAUAUAGGAGGAAUCACAAAAAUUGUUUCCAAAAUAAUAAUUGCUUACCAAAAAUAAAAAAAAUGCGUAAUGCCUGUCCUGGUUAUAUGAACUACCUACAUUAUUACACAUGUUAUUAGUAAGUUGUGGAAAUAAAUUAAGAUAUGAAAGAUUUUAUAUAUAUAUAUAUACAAUACUAUCGAGGUGAGUGUUGGAAAAUGCUUUUGUCAGUUAAUCUGUUUCUGUUCUGUGGGUGGAACUGUGUGCUCUUUAUAAAGGAUGGGACCCAAUCUCUCCAAGGCCCUAAGACACAGGUUGAGCAGGGGUGGUCU